UUCGCAUUUCUUUCCUUCCAUUCAAGCAGGGAUUAUGCUCCAAAUCUUCUUUGAUGGUUUGUUGUUACCUCUGCAGUUCCAAUAAUUUAGUUACUAUUAUGUAUGGAAUAGCAGCGAUAAUGUUGACAAGAUGGAUCUGUAAUUGAAAAGAUAAACUCUCCAAAUGGUGAUUUUAUUAAUGCAUUUAGAAAGAGUUGAAGAAAUCCGAAAUCAAAGAUCAGAAAGUCUUGACGAACCUUCACCUAAUGAUGCACUUGGCAUAGUAUUUGGUCCCGAGCACCCCGGCCGUGAUCGAGGUUUAGGCUUGGAUGUAGUUCCAACUAUAGCAUUCAAACAGACAUCUAUGACAUUCCGUCGUGGUUAUGUGGGGAAUAUUAUAUGAGAGGAAGCAACAUGGAGUAUUUUGGAGGCGAUAAUGUGAAGAAAAACACUCACUCGAGAAGUACCAGAACACAAAGAAGCAUAAAUGACAUAGGCAAGAAGGCUACCGCGACCACGGUGAACCGCGACAGGUUACUGAAGUGAGGCAGAAAGGUCAGCUUUCACCGUGGUCGACCGCGAGCGCGAUGCACUGUUCACGCAGCUGGAAGUUUGAGGACCAAAGUGUAAUUUUGGGAAAUUUUUUGUAAAACCCUUAUAAGCUUUAAAAACUCGCCCAAUUGAAAGGGGAAGCUAAUUUUAGACUACUUUUGGAGGAAGAACAAGUGUGAGAAGAUCAACAAAACAUUAGAGUUU